AUCUGUAGUAAAUAUAUUAUUAUUAUUAUUAUCUCCCUUUCCAUUUCUUCUCUUCCACAUGUAAAACAAAUCUGAUCAUUACACUGAUCACAAAACGAUCACAAAACUGAUCAUUAUUUCUCCCCAUUUCCCCUUUCUGCUCCCUUGGCCAGCUCCACAGGCAGCAUCCUUGGGUUGGUUUGAACUCCUUCCUCUUCUCAGCCACUCCUUUUCCUUGGGAGACCUCACUACCUGGAGGGAUACAUUCGGCUCCCUGGCUACAAAUGCAGCAGGGGUGAUACUGGUCUGCCAAGCAAUGGAGGCUGUGAGCAAGGAGCCAACAGCAACUCGUUUAAUAAGGUUUGUUUUGUAAAAAGGCCCCUUUGAGUUAGCAGUUAAAAUGUUCUCUCUUCCCUUGACUUCUGCUGGAGUAAGCCAGUGACUUUCUGUAAUAAUUUUUAUCUGCGUGUCAAGAAUUUAACCUCGAAAGCAUAACUGGACUGCAUUAAUUAAGCUUUAUCUCAUCUCCAGCUGAACCAAUGGUCAACAAACAAACAGAGCUUUCUCAGGAUGGAGAUCCUGUGCAUUUAUGUUGUCCACAGCAGUUUCACCUCCCGGGCAGAAAGGUGUUCCCCAGUCACUUCGUGGUGCACUUUCUGGGAGUCAUGAAUCUCCUUCUCACAGCUUAUUUGUGUCACCCAUAAAAUAUCCCCAAGCCUCUUCUUCCAGGAAAUGUGGGGGCCAGAAGAGGUCCUUUUGGACUGUGCAGCAUCUUCCAAGCAUCCACAGGAUCUGGCACCUGGAGUAAAGGGCUCUUUUGCUUUUUACCCAUUGGUGCUAAUGAUGACUCUGCAAGCAACCCAGCUUGACUCUGAGAAUGCAGGAGGCCAGAGGGCUCCCCCUCAGCACAUGGCAGAACAAGCCUUUAUCAGCCACCUUUGCAAAUCCUUCCCUGGAAGAAUCAUGGCAGUGAGAAUUAAGUUCCUGCGCACAGACAAGCCUAUUUCCCUCAGGAUUAGCAGCUCUGGAUGUCACAGCUCCACAGUAGGACAUGCAUGCAUCACCCUGGCAUCACUUGGAAUCUCCCUGGCAUCACCCUGGCAUCAACUCUGCAUCACCCCUGCUUCACCCUGGAAUUCCAGUGACUGUAGAUGACUGCAUUAUUUCCCUGGAUGCUGGGAAUGUCCUUAGAGGUGAACAACUGUCAUCUGGUUUGGGAUACUGUGAAUUCCUGGCACUAAUGUCCUCUUCUGUCUCCUCCCUGCCCUGCCUCACCCCUGCCCCUGCCCCCUUGUUCUGUGGCAAAGGGGCCACAUAGCAGAGGAGGCACCAUACAGAUUUGUCUGGCAGGUUUGUAAUGAGAGGCAUGUGAUGACCCUGCACAUUCAUCAGAUGGUUGUUUUCAGCCUGGACCCAUCUGUGAUGUUUUCAUUAUUUUUUUUCCUCCCUCUGCUCAGGCCAGGCUGCUCCGGGAGAAGUGGCACGUAGGCACAUACGUCCUUGCGCACGCUACACUUGUAUAAACUCCAUCAGGAAGUCAUCUGGCCAAACUUCCCAGAGCUCUGCUUUUAACUCUUCCCUAGGCAGGCUGUACUGGCAGCCAGGGGAUUUCCAGGGAGCAUGGAUAUGUGCAUUCGUGCCCCUGUUCUGUUUAUUGAUUCCCACCGCUCUCCUCCUGCCUACAAGCCCUGAUCACGUGGCUGUGCAGCUCUUGCACCCAUCCUGCUCCGAGUUCCCACCAGAAGGAAGUCUCCCUCAGCUGUGCACCCACAGGCACGCACAGGGCUUUGCAAUAGAACAGUGGCUUUUCUGGAGGGUGAAGCAGCUAAAGCCAAAGUGCCAAAACAUGCCCAGAGCAGGGCUGCCCCAGCAGAACAGAAGGAAAGAGUGUUGGUGGGGCAAAGCUGUCAGCUGUUAGGGGUUAUUAUCCCUUGCAGUUAUUAUUUCAGAAGUAUGUCCUUACCAGGCACAUGAGUAACAAAGGAAGUUCUCACAGUCCUUAAAUGUUUGCUGUGGUCAGGGAGGGAUUAAAACAACCCAACCCCUUCAGAAGUGACCCUGUCUUCAAUGAAGACGUGUCUCACUGAGUGUCCCACUCUGUGGAGAGGCACGACUGCACACCCACAGAGGCACGUCAGUGUGUAUAGAGACAUUUAAAGGACUGAGAAAAACCCUGGAGACUCCUCAGGUAGGAGAAAGGCUGCUAUUCCUCCCCAUGACGUGUGUGGAUUAGCAGUUACCCAUUUGUUAAAUGCAAAAUAACAGUCAUCCCAUGUUGUUAGAGCCUGUCAGCUGCCCACUGACAGAUUUCAAUGGCUCGUACAAGAUUUAUCCCUGCAAGUGUUCAAGAAGUGACGUGGCACUUAGUGCUACAGUUUGGUUGACAAGGUGGUGAUCAGUCAAAGGUUGGACUUGACGAUCUUGCAGGUCUUUUCCAACCUUAAUGAUUCUAUUUUAUUUUGAAACUUACUGCACAGGGGUGAAUAACUAGAAUUUCUGGAAAUGUUAUCCUCUACAAUCAGGUUUGGAGCAGGAAUGUCUGAGCUCAUUUGAUGUUUGGCCAGUGGUGUUGGACAUUGUUUGCUUCUGCUUACUCUGGUGUGAGUAUGAAAUGUGUAUCAGAACACCAAUGGCAGUGCUGUGUCUCUUGACAUACACUGUAAACCAGCCCAGAAUGCAACCAUUUAUCCAUCAAGUUGUUCACAGACAUUUGUCCCUGGUUUACUGCAUAUUCAUCUUCUCCAGUGUUACAAAACCAUGACAUGGUAAAACAGAUAU